CCUUAACCUGCUAAAUAGUGGCGUACACUUUGGUGAACGACUACUUCUUAGAGGGACUAUGAACGUUUAGUUCAUGGAAGUUUGAGGCAAUAACAGGUCUGUGAUGCCCUUAGAUGUCCUGGGCCGCACGCGCGCUACACUGACAAUGGCAGCAAGUGAUCUCCUUGUCCGGAAGGACUGGGUAAUCUUUUGAAACAUUGUCGUGCUGGGGAUAGUCCCUUGCAAUUAUUGGACUUGAACGAGGAAUUCCUAGUAAGCGCGAGUCAUCAGCUCGCGUUGAUUACGUCCCUGCCCUUUGUACACACCGCCCGUCGCUACUACCGAUUGAAUGGCUUAGUGAGACCUCCGGAUCGGCGCUCUCUAGAUGGCGACAUCUUAAGUGUGCUGAGAAGCUGGUCAAACUUGGUCAUUUAGAGGAAGUAAAAGUCG
rnacentral:rRNA from 1 species